rnacentral:rRNA from 1 species
UGGGGAAUUUUGGACAAUGGGCGCAAGCCUGAUCCAGCCAUGCCGCGUGCGGGAAGAAGGCCUUCGGGUUGUAAACCGCUUUUGUCAGGGAAGAAACGCGCUGGGUUAAUACCUCGGCGUAAUGACGGUACCUGAAGAAUAAGCACCGGCUAACUACGUGCCAGCAGCCGCGGUAAUACGUAGGGUGCAAGCGUUAAUCGGAAUUACUGGGCGUAAAGCGUGCGCAGGCGGCUUUGCAAGACAGAUGUGAAAUCCCCGGGCUCAACCUGGGAACUGCAUUUGUGACUGCAUGGCUGGAGUGCGGCAGAGGGGGAUGGAAUUCCGCGUGUAGCAGUGAAAUGCGUAGAUAUGCGGAGGAACACCGAUGGCGAAGGCAAUCCCCUGGGCCUGCACUGACGCUCAUGCACGAAAGCGUGGGGAGCAAACAGGAUUAGAUACCCUGGUACGUCCACGCCCUAAACGA